GACGAACGCUGACGGCGUGCUUAACACAUGCAAGUCGAAGGGAGUGGCGCACGGGUGAGUAACACGUGAGUAUCCUGCCCUUUUCUUUGGGAUAAGCCUGGGCAAUUGGGACUAAUACUGGAUGGUUUGGGCUGGGCUCGCGGCCUAUUAGCUUGUUGGUGGGGUGAUGGCUUACCAAGGCUUUGACGGGUAGCCGGCCUGAGAGGGUGGUCGGUCACCCAGGGACUGGGAUACGGCCCAGGCGCGUAAGGGGGGGAGCAGUGGGGGAUAUUGCAGAAUGGACGAUAGUCUGAUGCAGCGACGGCGUGUGGGGGAUGAAGGCCGUCGGGUUGUAAACUCCUUUCGCCCGCGGAAUGGUAGUGGGUAAAGAAGCGCCGGCUAACUACGUGCCAGCAGCCGCGGUAAUUC
rnacentral:rRNA from 1 species